rnacentral:lncRNA from 1 species
AGAAUCUUCUAGGCCAUGAUCAUUGGUGCCUCUGUGGACAGCCUCUGUCUGCAGAUCAGAGCACCAUUGCCAGUUGCCAAGAGGAACUUUCUCUGAGGCUUCUGGAAGAGGAAUCCAUGCUGCUGUGGCUUUUGCUGCUGGUUCUAGGUCUCCCGGGGCCCAGGCUGCCAUGGGGGAAGUGGUGGAGCUUCACUGUGAGGCCCAGAGGGGCUCUCCCCCAAGCCUGUACCAGUUCUAUCAUGAGGAUGUCACCCUGCGGAGCAGCUCAGCAUCCUCUGGAGAAGGAACAUCCCACAACCUCUCUGCAGAACAUUCUGGAAAAUCCUGUGUCAGGCCAACAAUAGCCUAGGAGCCCAGCCCAGUGAGGCAGUGCUUUUCAAUGUCAUUCAGCUUGAGCCUUGGCUAUGGGCUCUCUUUCAAAAGAUAAACUCCAAGCAUGCCAGUGUAUGAGGAAGAGUAUUUCGUGAAGACUGGAUUUCCUCAGUGACUUACAGUGGAAACAGAGACAGGAGGUCAUGAAAAUUAGUUGCUAGCCUCCCACUAGCCUGAGAGGAGUGGGCUACACUCCAGGGCAUUGGACAAAUAACUGAACAUCACUUAACCAUUUCAAACUAAGGCAAAAUGCACUGGAACGCCUGCCCGAUUCCGCACUUCACACCCCUUCCUCUGGAGUAUCUUCAGGAUUCCAGCCUGAGUCCCUGACCUCUGAGCCUCACCCACAGAACACUCUCCUCAGAGGUCCCCUAGGACAAAGGCCAUGCCACCUUCUGGUUGCAGUGACUGGGGGACGCUGCUUGGUUUCCUGGCAACUACUGCUCUGUUUUUUACCUGUGGCUCCAGAGGAAGUCAGAAACCUGUCCAGCCCAGAUCUCCGUGAACGCCUCUGCUGCAGCUCACCUAACCCGGCCAGGGACCAGGAGCCCAUGGAAAGCAAUGAUGAGUACUGAGGAAAGAUGUAGGGAUGAGGUCUAGAGCACCCAUCUGAAGAUUUAGGCAGUGCUUAUUUUUUAAAUUAAGGAUUCCUCUGCUGUCUAUUUAGAGGUGAAGAAAGAACAGCCCACAGCAGCCUCAGCUGAGCAGCAGUAAAAGGAACCUGUAGUUGGAGCUCUUCUUAAGAAGUCUGAAAAUCAGGAGUUCCCAUCGUGGCACGCGGAAACAAAUCCGACUAGGAACCAUGAGGUUGAGGGUUCAAUCCCUGGCCUUGCUCAGGGGGUUGGGGAUCCGGCGUUGCUGUGAGCUGUGGUGUAGGUCACAGACAUGGCUUGGAUCUGGCAUUGCUGUGGCUGUGGGGUAGGCUGACAGUUGUAGCUCCGAUUAGACCUCUAGCCUGGGACCCUGCAUAUGCUGCAGGUGCGGCCCUAAAAAGACAAAAAAAAAAAAAAGUCUGAAAAUCAGAUAAUAACAGAUCUUCAGACUUGGUAAUGGUAUUUAUUCUGGAGCUGAAUCUCAGCUUCUGCUUUCAAAUGGUGCAUGUGCUCCCCAAUUAACCACAGUAUCUGCCGCUUGGUAUUGUUUCCUUGAAUCUGAGCCAAGUGACAGCUGCCAUUUAGUCCCUCAAACAUCCAAUUAUUUACUCACAAUAGACUUAAGAAAAGAGUGCCUCUUUUACCCAUGUCUCUGGCAAAAGUAGGAAAAUAAAAGACAGAAAAAGAAGAGUCUGUGGUUUCAAGAAGAGAUCAUUUCCUUGUAAAAGUAAAAAGUAUUCGUAUAUAUAUGCAAAUAAAGUGUGUCUUUGUUGAUUAAAUACAAAUAAAGAUACCAUUAUAAAACAUAUUAUAGCAAGAAUUAUGAUAGGCUAGAGGAAGAUGCAUGUUGAAGAAAUUAAUGAACUAAAAAAAUAAAGAACUGAACUU